AGGCAGUGGAUUUUGUGAAUCUGUGUAAAUAAGAGUCAGUGCUGCAGAUCAGAUUCUGUUUCAUCAUGAAGGACACACAAACACCCACAGAUCAAGAGUUUUCUCCAGGAUGCAGUUCUGUUCAUCAGAAGAGAUCAGAAGCAGAGUCCAGCUGUGUGUCUGUGAGGAGUGAUGCGUCUAUAGAUCUUCCAAUACAGUUUAAGAGUGGAGA